rnacentral:lncRNA from 1 species
CAACACAACCAUCCUCCCUCCUGAACUGUGCGCCGCCCUCCGCCUCACAAAUCUGUAACCGUGCACUGCACCACAACCCUCUACAACCAUAUACACACACAUCCAUACAAAACCAUUCAACUUCAUCCUUGAAGCAAAGGCAGUGACAUCACCAUUAAAACAACAACAAACCAAGUUCAUCCCUCAUACAAAUUCAUAUUACU